GACAUUUUGUACAACAACACAUUAAAAGCUUAUCAAAGUUUGUAAAAAUGUCUAACAUUAGAUCGUAGAAUAACAGUAUAAGUUUAUUUAUUGAUAGUAUUAAGUGCGGCAAAGUUUAACCCUAACGAAACUAAAGCAAAAAAACUUGUACACAUGUUACUGU